CCCGCAACAUCUUCUCCCCUCUCCUUCCUCUGGCGGCGGCGAGGCGGAGGGCGGCGGCGCGAAGUGGUCAGCCAGAGCACGGUGCCGGCGGCGAUGGAGAUUCGCCGGAGGCUCCAUCGGCUCGGCUCGCACGACGCCUGGUGACAUUUUCUUCCCCCUCUUCUUUUUUUUUUCUUUUUGAAUUUUCAUAGGAAGUCACAAAGUCCGCGUUCGUCGCGUUAUUAUGGAGUUAGCGUAGAACUGCAUCUCGGAUGGGUUAGGGUCUAUGCGGAUUCUCUUUGCGAAUGUGGCUUAAGACCGAAAUUUGGUUAGAUAUGAGAAGAGCAGUAGUGGAAUGAUUUAUCUUCUCUUUGUUUAAAAAUGAGGGAGUAUUUCGCAAGCCUAUGCAUAUCUUAGCAAACAGAAGAUACUAUGAGAAAAACACAUCUUAAGAUGUAUUGCACAUAAAUUACAGACAUGUUCUUAUGGCCUAUCGAUAAACCCACAUUUCUCGAUUAAAUGUGACAGAAAUCUUAAACAUGGCCAGAAUAUGUAUAAUUUUGUGAAAUGUGCAGGUUUAUGGUACUUUUAUAAAGUUAGCAUGUUUUGUGAAAUGCAUGCAUUUGAGUUUGCUUCCUACUAUUUUCUAGAAAGAUUUUUUUUCUAGAUUGCAUCCUACAGAUAAAUAUAUGAUUAAGAAACUCUUCUUUCAAUCUCAAAAUAAUUUAGGAGAAAUGAAUUAGAAAAAUUUGUUGUACAUGUACAUACUGUACUAAGCACAACUAUUUUUAUGCUUUUGUUUACCAUACAUUUUUUACAGGAUUUUGACUUCUUUAUUUGAUCAUAGUACAAGUUUAAUUUUACCAAUUUAUUGUGAGUGAAGUUGAUUUUUUUACUCGGUGGGACCAUACUACUACACAUGUUUUCCCAGUUGCAGGUGGGUCCUAGUCCCACAUAUUGAAUUCCAUCACAUUAAAAUGCUCUGACAAAGUAUGUGUAGCUCUAGACUGCUAAUAAGUGCAAUUGUGCAAACUGCAAUAUGUAUUAGUACUAUGUAAUUUUUAGUAGUUAUGUUCCGCAAAAUUUACUUGGGUGUAAAUGCCAGAAAGUCGGAAUGAUAUUGAGUAUGGUGCAGAGAGAGUUUUAUGCUAUCUUACUUUUUUUGUUAGGAGUUUUAUCCAUUUUUCUGUCCAUGUUAAAUAACCAAAUUGAAGAUAUUGUCAAGACGAGUUCUGUUUCAAUAAAAGAAGACAAAACAGCCACUCUUUCAAUUUGUUGUGAACACUGAAAACACAAGCAAACGCUAGACAUACUAGCAUCAUAUAAAAAGAAAAAGAAAAAUACAGGCAUCAGCCAAUAAUCUCUUCUUAGAAACGUAUUUCUUGGAUACGAUGCAAUUUUGUUUUCCAGUUGUCUCGUUCCCACUCUACCUUGAGUUCAUGGUGUUGCAUCGUGACAUUGAGCUUCUUGAGGGAUGCAAGAAGCUCCAAACCUUUAGGAACCUCCCUGAGGGAUGGGAGCGACAGCAGAAGCAGCACUUCCAGCCUAAUAAUGGCCCCUUCCUCAAUGACUAGCCUUCUCAACUCCUCCAAUUUUCCCAACCAAAGAGUCCUCAGCUGAGGAAACCAUCCUGCACGGAGAAUUAUGUCCUCAGCCCAACAUCCCCUGCGUAUGCUCAAAAAUAUCAGAUUUGGCACGCUUGAUGAUAUUGAUGGGAGUGGAUUGGUGUCAUUUUUGCAAAAUGUCAGUGUCAGGUACUUGAUAUUUGCACCAUACUCACAGAACACUGGUCUUCGGAAUGUCUCAUUGUCCCAGCAUCCUCUGAUUGUGAGCUUCUCUAGCUUUGUACAUAUAGGAUUGAAAGCAUUAAAAUCCAGAGGUUCAUUCAGAUCGUUGGCGCUGAUGACCAAGUCAUAAAGGUGGUUCAUAUUUGAUAAGGAAGAAAACAGUGUUGCACAGUCAGCACGACAAACAUUCUCGACACACAGAAGCCUCAGCUCAGGCAAGUAUUUCAGUAGCUUCACCGAUUCCUUGGUUGCUUCAACAGUCUGGAGAGUCUGCAGCUGUGCCAAAUCAAAAGCACAGUCAGGCAAUUUCACACCACGGAAGUAACGCAAUUGCCUCUCUUCUGGGUCAUACAAUUGCUCUGCAAAGAUGUGCCUCAGCUUCUUUAAUUUAGCUACCUCUCUUGGGAGCCUUUCAAUGUUAGUUGAUUUCAAGUCCAGAGUUUCCAAAUUGGUGAGCUUUUUAAUUGAUAUUGGUAGGGACUUAAUACGUGUCCUCCUUAAGCCAAGAUAGCGCAAGUUGAACAAGUCCCCAAUAUUUUCUGGAAUCUUGUCCAAGGGUGAGUCUCGUAGUUCUAGAACAGCAAGGUAUUUACACCUGGAAAUUAGUAAGGUUAACAACUGAUAAUUAGCAACUCUGUUGGCUGCAAUGAAUGUCCGGAGACGAGGAAGGUCCAUGCUUGAUUUUAUCAGCUGAUUCACCUGAUCAAAGUUUGACACUAACAGCCGGCGAACAUCAUCCUUCUUUUGAGUUUCAAGGUUUAUGUCCGCCAGACCAAAUCUUUCCUUCCUAGAAAAGGAGAGUGCUAAUUCCCUCAUAAUGUCAUGCAUCCUGCAGCUUACCACUCUACCAAUCUCAUCGUUCUCAACAAGUUGCAUCAUGCUUUGUUGGAUCAGCUCAGUGAAGUAGCCGUCUGCAACCUCCUCCAAUGUACUCUGACCUCGCUGUAUUACAAAGCCCUCUACUAUCCAUAGCUUGAUAAGAAGCUCACGCUUGAAAAUAUAAUCUUGCGGGAACAUACUGCAAUAUAAAAAACAAUUCUUGAGAUGCCUUGGCAGGUACAUGAAGCUUAUGCUCAGUGCGCUCCUUACUUUGUCUAGGCCAGGGUUGUCCUCCAAUUCACACUUGAAUUGAUUGUUUAUUCUUCUCCAUACUAUCUCUUUUGAUUCCUGUACAGCCAAUACAUUUCCUAUUGCAUUAAUUGCCAACGGCAAGCCUCCACACUUAUUUACAAUCUGCCUAGACAAUUCCUCCAAAUGAGAGGGGCACUCCAUAUUGCUUUUCUGGAAGCACCUUCUAUGAAAGAGUUCAAAUGCAUCAUCAUUGCCUAGUGGAUUAAGCUUCAUCUUGUACAUUUCUUGAGCCAAUGAAGCAACGUCAUUAUUCCUGGUUGUGAUUAUUAUCCUACUUCCUUUCUUAUCAUCCAUCAAUGAGUCAGAUAGCUCAUGGAAAGCUCUAGUAUCCCAUACAUCAUCGAGUACAAUCAAGUAUUUCUUAUUUGACAAAACCUCCUUUAACUCAUCAUUCAGCUUACCAUGGUGCAUAGUGUCAAGAUCAGUGGGGAUUUUGCUUUGGUCCUCGCUCAGCUCUUGAAUCAACUGCCUUAAUAUAGCAUUGAUGUUAUAGUUAUGUGAUACUGCAAUCCAUGAAUAACAGUCAAAGCUCUUCAUUCCCUUCUCCCAAUCAUAAACCUUCCUGACUAGGGUUGUUUUACCCAAUCCACCAAAACCCCAUAUUGAUAUUACUGUUCGAUCUAACUCCUUGGGAUCUAGCCAUCUGCCAAGCAGCUCCAUGUCUUCUUUCAUCCCAACAAUGUCAUCUCCUUUAACGGCAUGAGGAGAACCAUUAGAUGACAGGAGAUGAAUAUGAGCACUAUCACUAGUGUUGUCAAGUAAUUCAUUGAACAUUUCUCGAUAAUCCCUUUUCAGCUGUGACAAGUGCUUGAUCUCUUCCUCGAUAUCUUUAAGCUCAAUAGCGAUGCGAUGAAAAGCAGUUGGAUAGAAGAACUUGUGUAUUAACCUUUUAAAAUGGUUUUCAUGUUCAAGAGCUAUGUUAUAGCUGUACUCAUCUGUUAUGUCCUCAACACGGUAAGCGACCUUCCGCACCCUUACUAUCCAGCCUUCAAGAACUUUAUUGCUGUAGAUUUUUGUUCCAACCUGGCUCAAGAAAUGAUGGAUCAUGUCUAAUUCCCUCUCGAUGUGCUUUGCAGUGUAUGGUAGAUCUGGGAGCCGUGCGGGUUCUUUCUCUAGGUAAGUCCUUAGUGAUGAUACUCCAAAAGAGGUAACAAGCUUGCCGAGAGCUAGGACUACUGCUGCCUCUGCCAUUGUCUGUCUUCACUUACUGACUGAUGUGUUACUUCUUGUGGAUAUGCAAGAUUAACCGGUAAGAGCUCCUUUUCUUUUAGCCUGUUGAACAAAAUAUGAUAUCCCAGCUUUAUUGUCUGUCUUAGUGAGGCACUGAAAAUUUGAAAUGAACAUGGUGGUGUAUGUUAAUGCUGGUUGGUACUACUUGCUAAUUUCCGUUUUAGUACGCCAAGCUAUGUAUUUCAUUAACUAGGAAUUUGAUGACUUUCGGUAUAUUUCUUGGCAUCUUGCUACCGGCAUAUUUGCUACUAAAUUUUAUUUUGAGUGGUUCAAAAAAAAUUAUCUUUUCGGAGAUUUUUUUUCAGUAACCGGAUGAGGUACAUAUGAGCUAUUAAGAUUUGCAGGACCACAUGCUUUUUUUUUUGAGUAAAAGAUCACAUGCCUGUUGAUGAUGCGCAGUUGCAGAUAUGAUCCUUUGGGACAGGAGGGGAAGAGAGAAGAAUCCUCUGCGAUCUGAACGGUCUCCCCUGCUCCACUGGAAAAUAAGCUCGUGAAGAA
rnacentral:lncRNA from 1 species